GGCUUAGCCAGGCUGGGUCCUCGGUGGGGCUGCUGAAUCGGCGCUCGGCCUCCCAGCGGCCCGCGAGCAGUUGAGGACCGGCGGCUGGCUCGGCCCCCGGGGAAGAUUUAUGACAAAGUCCAGUUUUCAACAAUGCUGAAAUCAAAUGAUUGCUUGUUUCCUGUGGAAAAUUUGUUUUUCAAAAAACAAGAUGAAGUUGAAAACUAUUCAGACAAUGAAAAGUCAUUGGAUUGGUUUCUCCCAUCCGUUCCAUUGAUUUCAGAAAUUCCAGAUACUGAAGAACUAGAAGAAGAAAUAGAAAGUCAUAAUCUUAUAGGUCAGGAAAAGAGGCCAAAAAUGUUAACAUCAAAUUUAAAGAUUACUAAUGAAGAUUAUGUUACCCCAACACAAAAUUUCCAGUUUGCCUUCCACCCUUAUAGAUAUGAGCAAGAAGAUCAAAAUUUAGGAGUGACAGAUAACAAUGAUUUGCCACAUGUUGCUGGGAAGCUGACAUAUUGUUCUCAGAAAUAUAAAAAUCACAUUGGCUCUGCAGUAGCACCUGAGAAAAGUGUUCCUGCUGAUACAAAAUUAGUUAAUUUUACAGAAGAUAAAGGAGUGAGCACGUCAGCAUUCCGGAAAAGAUUAUUUAAAUUAUCUGACAGUGUGCAAGGGAGUGUUUAUUGUAAUGACAAUGCAAGCUUGAACUCUCACGUUACCUCAGUGAAACUUGUCCAAACAGAUAUGAACAAAGGAAAGUCAUGGUCAAGCAAUAGUAAUCAAAAACUUCAAUAUUCUGCAGAUAUGUUCAUUGCAAAUAAUGCUUUUUUGGCUUCUGAAAUUGGAAAAGGGGGAACAGAAGAUGGUUUAGGUUCCUUGAAGGCUGUCGCAGAAAUCCCGACAAAAUAUAGAAGUAUUUUUAAGGAAUUUCCAUAUUUUAACUAUAUACAGUCAAAAGCCUUUGAUGAUCUUCUUUAUACAGAUAGGAACUUUGUGAUUUGUGCUCCAACUGGUUCUGGGAAAACGGUAAUAUUUGAACUAGCUAUCACAAGAUUGUUAAUGGAAGUACCAUUACCAUGGUUGAACAUUAAAAUUGUUUACAUGGCACCAAUAAAAGCCCUGUGUAGUCAGCGUUUUGAUGAUUGGAAGGAAAAAUUCGGACCAUUAGGUUUGAAUUGUAAAGAACUCACUGGAGAUACAGCAAUGGAUGACCUAUUUGAGAUUCAGCAUGCCCAUAUUAUUAUGACAACUCCAGAAAAAUGGGAUAGCAUGACUAGGAAAUGGAGAGACAGCUCUUUGGUCCAGUUGGUUCGACUGUUUCUCAUUGAUGAGGUACAUAUUAUAAAAGAUGAAAAUCGUGGUCCAACUCUUGAAGUUGUAGUCAGCAGAAUGAAAACUGUUCAGUCUUCAUCCCAGAUUUCAGAAAAUACCAGCGCUAUUAUUCCAAUGAGAUUUGUAGCUGUAUCUGCAACAAUUCCAAAUGCUGAGGAUAUUGCAGAAUGGCUUUCGAAUGAUGAAAGACCUGCUGUAUGUCUGAAAAUGGAUGAGAGCCAUAGACCUGUGAAACUUAAGAAAGUGGUCCUUGGAUUUCCUUGCACUAGUAACCAAACUGAAUUUAAGUUUGACUUAUCCCUCAACUACAAAAUUGCCAGUGUUAUACAAACAUAUUCUGAUCAGAAACCCUCACUUGUGUUUUGUGCAACAAGGAAAGGUGUGCAACAGGCUGCUUCUGUUUUUGUGAAAGAUGCCAAAUUUGUUUUGACUAUGGAACAGAAACAGAGGUUACAGAAGUAUGCAUAUUCCGUAAGAGAUUUGAAACUGAAAGAUAUCUUAAUACAUGGUGUUGCUUAUCAUCAUGCUGGUAUGGAGCUGUCAGAUAGAAAAGUAGUUGAAGAAAUUUUUACUAUUGGAGAUCUACCAGUUCUUUUUACUACCAGUACUUUAGCCAUGGGAGUAAAUUUGCCUGCUCACCUAGUUGUUAUAAAAUCUACAAUGCAUUAUGCUGGAGGAAUGUUUGAAGAGUAUAGUGAAACAGAUAUUCUGCAGAUGAUUGGUAGAGCUGGUCGACCUCAAUUUGACACUACAGCUACGGCAGUUAUUAUGACUCGAUUAAGUACAAGAGACAAGUACAUUGAAAUGUUAGCUUGCAAUGACACUGUAGAAAGCAGUUUGCACAGACAUCUCAUUGAACAUUUAAAUGCCGAGAUAGUAUUACACACCAUCACAGAUGUGAAUAUUGCUUUGGAAUGGAUACGAUCAACCUUGCUUUAUAUCAGAGCCUUGAAAAAUCCAUCUCAUUAUGGUUUUACAUCUGGAUUGAAUAAAGAUGGAAUUGAAGAAAAAUUACAAGAAUUAUGUUUGAAGAAUCUGAAUGAUUUAUCAUCCCUGGACUUGAUAAAGAUGGAUGAAGAUGUUACUUUCAAACCAACUGAGGCAGGAAGAUUGAUGGCUUGGUAUUAUAUUACAUUUGACACAGUGAAGAAAUUUCAUAAAAUCAAUGGAAGAGAAACUUUAUCAGAUCUGGUCACAAUGAUAGCCAGCUGCAAGGAAUUUCUAGAUAUACAGUUAAGAAUAAGUGAAAAGAAAACACUGAAUACUUUGAACAAAGAUCCAAAUCGGAUAACUAUCAGAUUUCCAAUGGAAGGAAGGAUUAAAACAAGAGAAAUGAAAGUAAACUGUCUUAUUCAGGCUCAACUAGGAUGCAUUCCCUUUCAAGAUUUUGCUUUGACACAAGAUACAGCAAAAAUUUUCAGAACUGGCUCACGAAUUACAAGAUGGUUAUCAGAUUUUGUGGCUGCUCAGGAAAACAAGUUUACCAUCCUAUUGAAUAGUUUAAUUUUAGCUAAAUGUUUUAGGUGUAAACUUUGGGAAAACUCUCUGCAUGUUUCCAAACAGUUGGAAAAAAUUGGUAUAACACUGUCAAAUGUCAUGGUAAAUGCAGGUUUGACUUCCUUUAAAAAAAUAGAAGAAACAGAUGCAAGAGAACUUGAACUGGUUUUAAAUAGACAUCCUCCAUUUGGAACUCAGAUAAAAGAAACUGUAAUGUAUCUACCAAAAUAUGAACUUGAAGUAAAGCAGAUUGCAAGGUAUGAUGAUACCAUCGCAGAAAUAUUAGUGACCAUUAUAUUAAGAAACUUUGAACAACUGCAAACUAAAAGAACAGCACCAGAUUCUCACUCUGCUACCUUGAUCAUAGGUGAUGCAGAUAAUCAAGUAGUUUUUAAGUACAAAAUUAUGGAUUCUGUUUUGCUAAAAACUGGAAAUUGGACUAAAAAGAUUGAUGUGAAGAGAGCUCUUAAAUCUGAAGAUCUUAGCAUAAAUCUAAUUAGUUCUGAUUUUGUUGGACUUGAUAUUCAGCAGAAAUUUUCGGUCUUUUACUUAAAACCCAAGAGAUCUGAAAAUCAAGUAAUUAUGGGAAGAAAAUCAGAAACAGAGGUUUCCCAUUCUAAGCAGUCAGAUAGAUCUACUAUAGCAGGACCCAAUAAAGGAAUGACUACUUGCAAAAAACCUGGGAACCGAGAAUGUAAUCAUCCUUGUAAAAAUAAACAAACAUGUGGACAUGACUGCUGUAAAACUGGAGUUGCACAGAAAUCAGAAAUUAGAGACUCACCAAUUUCUUCAUAUUUAUCUGAUUUAAGAAACAGGAAUGCCUGUUCAUCUCUUCCUCCAGUUAAACGACUCAAGAUUCAGAUGAAUAAACCUCAAAGCGUGAGCCUUACAGAGUUUGGUUUUACUCCAAAACCUUCCCUACCCAGUAUAUCAAGGUUGGAAUAUUCAAAUAUACCUGAAUUGCCUCUAAUGGAACAAUGGGAUCAGCAUAAAAUCUGUGGAAAAAUCCAGCAAGAGCCAUCAGAAUAUCAAGACAAAGAUUUUUCUAGAUGGAAUGAGAAAGCUGUACAAACAGUGCUGGUCAACAGAAAUCUUAGCAUGUCUGGAAACCAAAAUUUGACAGAUGCAGAUAAAAGCAACUCUACAUUUUCAGAAGUUUUGAAUGUGAACUUUGAAUUGGAAAAUGAAGUUUGGGAUGAUUUUGAUGAUGAAAAUUUAAUAGAAGUUACUAACUUUUCAUAUGAUGAGAAGACAAAAACAUCAGGAUUUGGAAGCACUUUGAGUUCAAGUAUCAGAGGAAGUGAGCUACCUUUCCAGGAGUCAAAGAGCAAAUUCCAAAGAGAAAUAUCAAACAGUUUUGUUUCAUCACAUGAGAAGGCAAAUAUUUAUUUAUCAAAUUCUGCUUUGUCCAAGUUUGGUGCAUCCUCGAUGGCACAAUUACCUCAACAAGCUGGAAAUGGAAGUUUUGUUCAUUUACAAGAAAGAAAACAACAAAGACUGUCACCAGAGAUUCAGAAGCUAUGCUUUAUUAAUUCCUCUCCAAAAUCAAAUUCUUCAAAUUUUAAGAAUGUGGAGUUCUUUUUUAGAAAUGAUGAAUGUAAAAAGGAAAUUGAUGUCAGUAAUCAUCCUGAUGAUGAAGCUGAUGAAAUUAAGACUCUUCUGGGAAUAUUUGAUGAAGCCAAGAUCCAGACUUGAGACAAAAGAAUUGGAAAAACACCUGAUGGUCAAAUCCAGUUUUUAGUCUAUGGACUAAAGAGUCUCUAGAUUUGUAGAAAAACAGAGAAGUCAGAGGAAAAGAAAAGAGCUCAAGUGUGGAUACCUGAAAAAGUGUCUAUGUCCAAGUUGCUUCUGGACUGAUUCUGAAUUUCAGCCCUGGAGAUUUUCAAGCACAGAGAAGACAACCAUUUGAAGACAUUAUUGAGCGGAUUCUACUAUAAUGAGGGUCUGGCUCGACCACCAGGAUUCUAGGAUCAAGCAUUUAUUAGAGCCUAGUGUGUUCUUGGCCCUACAGCUGAAACAGUUCAUCAGAGCCCCACUGGGAUGAAGGUAAGGAAAACAUGCUGCUCAGAGAGAGGCCAAAUGGUCAGAGCCGGCGCUUCUGUGUUGCUGACCUCAGCUGGCGAGCAGACAGGACUGAGUUUUCUAAGUACCCCAGCCAUAACUCCAGCCACAUAAUCACUGUUCAGCUUCAUGGGUUCCAGCUGGACCAAACUUUGCCCAAAUUUGGGGCAGAAAUGGGGUGUGGCCUGAGCAUGGAUGAACUGUGGCACGGGCAGUAGUGAUGACCACAGGGAAAGUGUAUCAUGGCCAUCCUCUGUGCAGUAGAAUUGGCUUGAGCUGCCAUCCACUUAAAACAGAAGCAAGAUUAGCUUUCUUUUUCCUCGACUGCUUCCAAGGAGGGCUCGCUCAUAUUAGCGUGCAGAUUUCUGAAAAGGAAUUCUGUGUGGUUGAUAGAGAAUGACUGUUCUCUAUGUCCACUGGUGUGUCUUUCUCAAACUUUAAUGCACAUAUGUACUACCUGGGGAUCCAAUUAAAAUGCAGAUUCUGGAACCUGAGAUUCUGUUCCAAACUCUCAGGAAAAGAUGAUUAUCAUGACCAGAAACCACAGUUUAAAAAGCAAAAGACUAACAUAAAAUUACAGUGGAAUGGAUAUAAGUUAGUGGGGGUUCAGCACACUACAUCACUGGAACCACCUGAGGAACUUCAAAAAUGCACCUGUGCCUGAUCAUGAUCGAUUGAAUUAGAAUCUCUGGAACUGACGCUUGAGCACCUGCAUGUUGUUAUGCCUUCCAAUGAUUCUUAUUCUCUAAGACUGAGAAAUCUAAGAAGUUUUGUAAAUGUGUAUACAUAUGAGGAGGUCUUCAAAAAGUUAAUGGAGGGGAUGGCACUGUGGUGCAGUGGGUAAAGCCGCCACCUGCAGUGCUGGCAUCCCAUAUGGGCACAGGUUGAAGUCCCAGCUGCUCCACUUCUGGCCCAGCUCUCUGCUAAUGUGCCUGGGAAAGUAGCAGAAGAUGGCCCAAGUGCUUGAGCCCCUGCACCCACGUGGAAGACCUGGAAGAAGCACCUGGCUCCUGGCUUCAGCCUGACCCAGGGCACUGUGGCCAUUUGGGGAGUGAACCAGCAGAUGGAAGACCUCUCUCUGUCUCUCUCUCUCUCUCUCUCUAGAUAUAUCUCUAUCUCUAUCAUCUCUUAUCUCUAACUCCAUUUCCAUCUCUAUUUCUCUCUAUCUUUUUCUAUGUCUCUAUCUCUCUCUGUCACUCUGCCCUUCAAAUAAAUAAAUCUUUAAA